GACGAACGCUGGCGGCGUGCUUAACACAUGCAAGUCGAGCGGUAAGGCCCUUUCGGGGGUACACGAGCGGCGAACGGGUGAGUAACACGUGGGUGACCUGCCCUCAGCUCUGGGAUAAGCCUGGGAAACCGGGUCUAAUACUGGAUAUGACUCCAUGACGCAUGUUGUGGGGUGGAAAGCCUUGUGCGGCUGAGGAUGGGGCCCGCGGCCUAUCAGCUUGUUGGUGGGGUGANGGCCUACCAAGGCGACGACGGGUAGCCGGCCUGAGAGGGCGACCGGCCACACUGGGACUGAGACACGGCCCAGACUCCUACGGGAGGCAGCAGUGGGGAAUCUUGCGCAAUGGGCGAAAGCCUGACGCAGCGACGCCGCGUGAGGGAUGACGGCCUCGGUU
rnacentral:rRNA from 1 species